rnacentral:rRNA from 1 species
GACGAACGCUGGCGGCGUGCUUAACACAUGCAAGUCGAGCGGUAAGGCCCUUUCGGGGGUACACGAGCGGCGAACGGGUGAGUAACACGUGGGUGACCUGCCCUCAGCUCUGGGAUAAGCCUGGGAAACCGGGUCUAAUACUGGAUAUGACUCCAUGACGCAUGUUGUGGGGUGGAAAGCCUUGUGCGGCUGAGGAUGGGCCCGCGGCCUAUCAGCUUGUUGGUGGGGUGANGGCCUACCAAGGCGACGACGGGUAGCCGGCCUGAGAGGGCGACCGGCCACACUGGGACUGAGACACGGCCCAGACUCCUACGGGAGGCAGCAGUGGGGAAUAUUGGACAAUGGGCGAAAGCCUGAUCCAGCGGUGCCGCGUGUGUGAAGAAGGCCUGCGGGUUGUAAAGCACUUUCAGUAGGGAAGAAAAGCCGAGUGCCAAUACCACUCGGUCUUGACGUUACCUAAGAAGAGCACCGGCUAACUCCGUGCCAGCCGCCGCAGUAAU